GUGGGGAAUAUUGGACAAUGGGGGGAACCCUGAUCCAGCCAUGCCGCGUGUGUGAAGAAGGCCUUUUGGUUGUAAAGCACUUUAAGCGAGGAGGAGGCUACCGAGAUUAAUACUCUUGGAUAGUGGACGUUACUCGCAGAAUAAGCACCGGCUAACUCUGUGCCAGCAGCCGCGGUAAUACAGAGGGUGCAAGCGUUAAUCGGAUUUACUGGGCGUAAAGCUCGCGUAGGUGGCCAAUUAAGUCAAAUGUGAAAUCCCCGAGCUUAACUUGGGAAUUGCAUUCGAUACUGGUUGGCUAGAGUAUGGGAGAGGAUGGUAGAAUUCCAGGUGUAGCGGUGAAAUGCGUAGAGAUCUGGAGGAAUACCGAUGGCGAAGGCAGCCAUCUGGCCUAAUACUGACACUGAGGUGCGAAAGCAUGGGGAGCAAACAGGAUUAGAAACCCCUGUAGUCC
rnacentral:rRNA from 1 species